UUGAUUUGGACAGCUGAAAAU
rnacentral:piRNA from 1 species